UGGGGAAUUUUGGACAAUGGGCGAAAGCCUGAUCCAGCAAUGCCGCGUGUGUGAAGAAGGCCUUCGGGUUGUAAAGCACUUUUGUCCGGAAAGAAAUCCUUGGCUCUAAUACAGUCGGGGGAUGACGGUACCGGAAGAAUAAGCACCGGCUAACUACGUGCCAGCAGCCGCGGUAAUACGUAGGGUGCAAGCGUUAAUCGGAAUUACUGGGCGUAAAGCGUGCGCAGGCGGUUUGCUAAGACCGAUGUGAAAUCCCCGGGCUCAACCUGGGAACUGCAUUGGUGACUGGCAGGCUAGAGUAUGGCAGAGGGGGGUAGAAUUCCACGUGUAGCAGUGAAAUGCGUAGAGAUGUGGAGGAAUACCGAUGGCGAAGGCAGCCCCCUGGGCAAUACUGACGCUCAUGCACGAAAGCGUGGGGAGCAAACAGGAUUAGAUACCCUGGUAGUCCACGCCCUAAACGAUGUCAACUAGUUGUUGGGGAUUCAUUUCCUUAGUAACGUAGCUAACGCGUGAAGUUGACCGCCUGGGGAGUACGGUCGCAAGAUUAAAACUUAAAUGAAUUGACGGGGUCAUAGCUG
rnacentral:rRNA from 1 species